AAGCUCCCAAGGAAGGAGUUGACAGCUAUGUGAAAUGUAGAAAAUAGAAAGAAUUCGAAAAGUGAAAUCAAUAUUCAGCAAGAUGUUUGACCAUGUUUGACACUGAAAAACUAACUUGACUUGGUAAUGGAUGUUUUGUAAAUGCUGAAUCCAAGAACUUCGUCAUUUCACUUGAUUGACUUUCUUUUCCGAUUUUAAUAAUGGUGAUAUUGCAGACACACCAUAUUGCAAGUACUUACCUGAGCAGCUGAGCUCUUCCUUUCUGUGGUUCCUUUCAAUUGAUUCAUUUGAGAUAAAAACAGUAUACUGCAGACAAUACAACAACAUACUGGUUGCAACUUCCGCAACAUGAAAUUAUCUUCAAAGAACAACCACUGUUCAACUUGAUGCAAAAAGUCUUUUACCCUUGUCUUACCUACCAC
rnacentral:lncRNA from 1 species